rnacentral:lncRNA from 1 species
ACUGCUCUAGGUUGGCUACUGCAGUCUUGUUAUCAAGCUAAAAAUAGUACUCUUUCCUCACUAAAGCGAUCCACCCUUUAAGAAAAGCGAUCCAUCAACUGAACCAAAAAGCUCCCUCACAUCGUAGACAAUUGAAACGAGGUUUUCAGUGACAAGACAUUUCGUAAGGAACGAAGCCUUCAAGUUCAGGUCCAUUGAGACGAGGAUUGUUUUCAAAGCUGCAUCCACAACCAUUCGAAAGCAUUUCUUCAGUCAGAAAGAACUGACUUGAUACACCUCUAAACUAAACUAUUUCGAGAGAACGUACAUGAAUUUUCACAGAUUCAAGGGAAGUGGCACCGAAUAGGGUUUCAAGAGCCAAGCGGAGAUUAACUUUUGUUUAAAUUGAGAACUCACCUUUUGGCUUGAAGGUGACUGAAAGAGCCCGUAACUGGAAUGGUGCCGCAUAAGUCAUUGUUUGACAUAUCACUGUAACCCGUAUUCCACACAAAGAGUCGAUCAGCUCAAAUCUUCAUUUUACAAAGCACCACGAGAAAAUAUUCUGUGCAACAAACAUGUCCAUUAUCAUGCCAAAGCUCUCACUUAAGCAACGAAGCUUUCUAGCGCUAUUUUAGGCUGGCUAAACUAGAAACCUUAGACCUUGACCUUAGCGCUGACUACAGGAUCGUCC